UGAAGUCCUGUGGGCUUCACAAAGCAAUUGUGGUUCUUGUUUGCACCAGGGAUGACAGCACACAGGCAGCAGGCGGGCAGGCUGCUGGCCAAGCAGACAGGACGAGGCUGUGAUGAGUGAGGGGGAGGCAAAAAAAUGGCUAAAAGAGGAACUGGGAAGGGGAAUCUGCCCACAGGGAAACUUUUUUCAGCCAGCUAUGUCACAGCACUCUCACUGCAUGGCAGCAGCUGUGCUGACCACAGGCACUGCCCUGAUGACUCGGGGUCCUCAGCACAUGCAGUGGCUUCCCAGCACAGGCAGGCAGCAACGAGACUCUGCCAGGGGAAAGCACAGAGAUGAAGACAUCAGGACGCCAAAACAGAUGGGAGACUGUGCACACAGCAAAGCUGUGGAGAUCUGCCAGCCAGAUGACAGUGGAGUGGUGGGAACUGAAGGCAUCCUUCGGGGGUAUCAGCUGGUGUGCAUGAUGUGCUGGCUCCAGCCACAGGCUUGAUUCUCACCUGAAAUUUUCUAGUAGUCAUAGCUUUUGAAAUGGAUGGAAGUAACCCAUGGCAUUUUGGAAAAAAUAUGACAAUAUUUUCACGUUACUUGGAGAGAUGUGGCUGGAAGUAUGAAUGAUGUCUGAAACAUCUGACCCUGAGCUGAAAUAAGGAACAAUUGAGACUUAUGUACAAGCAGUUGAGCCUCAGGUACACAGACGUGUGAGAGACUCCUAGGUAAGGUGUCUGAGGAACAAGAAUUAUUUUCACGUGGGAAAGGAAGAGGUUGCAUGAAUCAUGGUAAACUUCCAACUUAGAUUUUACAGUAGUGAGGGUUGAGACAGUGGAGAUACCAUCUAGAAGUUGAUAGAAUUUGUUUUUGAAACGCAUAUCCGUGCAAAUGUUAUACUUUGGCCAAAAAAAAAAAAAAAAAGAAAAAAAAAAGUGACCAAAGACAGAAUAAAGCACUCUGUUUAGCAAAACAGCUGCAUGAUGUGUUAAACCCAGUCUUGUGAUGACAAGCCACAUGAAAUCUGUGCAGAUAAGUCAUCACCAGUGGCUAGUUUCCCCUGUGUCUCACUGACAAGGGGAGGGGAGGAGGAGUUUGUGUAAUUAAUAGGCAAGGGAAAAGUAGGGGGCAUUUUUUAAAGUCAUCCCUGGUUACUCUCAAGUGGGUAUUGAUUGAAUGAUAUCAGAUAUGCUUUUAUGUCCGUAUUCCUCUGGUUAGAGGAAUUUGGACAUGAUCCAAGCAGAAGUAGAGGAGCUGCUAGGUGGCCCAGUGGUAAAGCAUCCCACCCACUGCAGCAUCCUUAGCAGGGAGGAGGAGGUGAGACAGGGGGAGACCCUCUGCUGAGAUGAGCCCCUGCACUGCCAGUGGGCGAAGAGAACAGACUUGUCCAGCCUGGGGAUUGAAACUCCACAAAGCUGAGCACCAGAUGGCAGAAGAUACAGUGGUUUACAUAUUUUGGAUAGAGGUGUAAACAUCUACAUCUGAACUAGUCAUCAGAAUGCUACUUAUAGUCAAGGGAGAGAAGGACAAGCAAGCUGAAUUCCACCCUGGGUGUCUGCACCACAAAAGCAGAAUGCCAGAGUGCGGCUUACACCAGCUGUGGUCAUCCACUUACCCUUGCCUCUCAUAUUUGCUAUCCUGAGAUUCACCGGAAAAAAUUACAAAGAGUAUCCAGGGGAUUUCCACGCAGUCCCUGAUGCUAUCUUUAGAGUGCUCUAAUGCAGUUUCAGAAUAAAGAACUUGUUUGUACUUUUUCUUGUGUCUACUUGUCUCUGCUUCACCCAGCUCAAAGCAAGAGAGUUUAUAGAUUAAACACUUACUGGUUCCACAAAGUUAUCAGCUCCUGUUUUUGCUGUCCUCUCUGAUGUCCUGCAAUUAUUUCCAAGUUAUUAUAGGCUUUGAUGGAUUAAUUUUAUAUACAGAUGAUAUUUUCCUCAUUGUGGUGUUAAAACAGACUUAUUUGACCUUUUAUAAAUUAGCAUGUAUUUUCAAAUAGCUUGUUUCUUUUAAACUCUGCAAAAAAUAAGUCAUGAUCAAUAUGAUUUAGUUACACCUCCCCUAGCACUGAAAUACUUAGUUGAAAUACCCUGAAACACAACAUGAAGAGCAGGCCAAUAAAAAGAGGUUGGGAACAAUUACUCUGCUGACAGCUAUGCAACAGAUGUUACUAUUACAGGCUGAAACUUCAAUGUAGAGAAUAAAAGAAAAAAAAAAAAAAAAAAGAAAAAAGAAAAAAGAGAGAGAGAUGAAACCUACCUAUAUUUUCUUUAUUUGGUGGGGCUUGAUGAGAGCUUAAUUCAAAAUUUUUUCCAAAUAGGAGGCGUUGAUAACUCAAAAAAUUUAAACACUGUGAAAUAUAGAAGGUAAGCCCUUUGCAGAACUUGGCCAGACUUCUGCAUUUCUACAGAUGUAGCCAUCUGCAAGAUGAAGAAGACAAGCACAAAGAGGAGCAUUAGGGGCUGGACGUUUUCAACAAGCUGCACUUGGGAUCCUCAACUUUGCCAAAGACCACGGAGCAGAGGAAUGUGUUCCCCCCAGAAACUGACCCAGGAGCACCCUGCUCCACUCUGAGGGUGGGGGAACAGCGAGACAGAAGCCAUCAGAGGACAGAGGGAAACCACAGCCUGGACUGGACUCUGUACAGGAUGGAGAUGAAUCCAACCAAGAGCAGGAGGAAAGGAUGGGUGCUUGGCUCGCAGGCUGUCAAUAUGAUGUCUUAAGCUUCUGUGUGAAGGUGGAGCAUCACAGCUGGCACCGAGAGUGAAGCAACAGGACCUCUCUGUUGUUGCUUUACCUGAAAAGCCCACCAUGCUAGGUCCUGCCUGGGGCUCCUGGAACACACCAAGUUAGAGAUCUAAGAGUGUAAAUGUUUCCUCUAACUGACGACAUGUUAUUUAGUGCUCCCAUCCCUGCCCAUAUGGAUAGUACUUUAUGGCAAAACAAAGACUUGCCCAGCAGAGCACUGAAGCGUCAGAAGAUAAAUGUAUAAAAAUUUAGUAACUGCUUUCUCCCAUGUCAUGUUACGUAUUAAUACAGAUGUUAUAUCUCUAAGAAGUCUAGAAACAUAGGUAAUAUUCAGAUCCCAGUCAGGAAGAAUUACUGAAAACAUCUAAAAGUAUCCUUUCCAUAAACAAAAUGAAUAUGUAAGCACAUCUGGCACAGCAAUCCUUUACUGCACCAUGUUAUAAAGUACUCCAGAGCAAUGAAAGUAGUUAAGCCAAUUGUUUUAUAUUAGUUUUAGCUUUAUGCUCAGAAAACCAUCUAUGAAAGAUUUGCAUCUCAGCAAAGAGACUUCUAUAAGUGGUCACAAAAAAGGGAGAAUCCAAAUAAAAGUUCUCUCUUGCAGAACAGGAAGGAAAAAAAUACUUGAACUUGAGGAGGUGUCUGGCUGGGCAGACAGCAGAAAGCAUCAGAGGACCAAAAUCCCCUAAGGCCAUUAGGGAAAUACCAGAGUAUUAAAAAAAAAAAAAGAAGGCACCAUUAGCUUUAAUGUUCCCACACAAGUCAGUCACAAGAGACAGGCUGGGUGCUCAUUUACAUACAAGCUUCAGAAUGAGACAAGCCUCAUGUGACUUCAAAGUUAUGAGUAAUGGGCCCAGAAAGCAGCAGAAAAAAACAGUGGGAUUAGGGACAUUUCAGCUGAAACCCUUCCCCCGUGUAGAAGUGGCAGCAAGUGGAGCUAACCUACCUCCCCCUCCCCACUGCUGCCUCCCCUGAGGGUGUUGCGAUGGAGGCCUUGCCUCUCCAGGUAGCAGGGGCUGUCAGCUGCCCUCAUCUUGGUGAGCCUCGUUGCAGGCAUCCCUGCCAGGAUUUGCUUGCUCUUUCAGCACCAAGGUUUCUGCCUGGUGUGGGAGUUCGGUGAAUUGGGCAGACAUGAGUUGUUAAGAAAGGGGAAGGAAGGAAUGGAUAAACAGAGUCACAAUCUGAAAAACAGGAAUACGCUCUGAAGAUUGGGUUGGUAAGUCCAACACGCUCUGCUCUGGGGAAGCAUUCUACUUCUAGCUUGUCUGGUCUGAAAGGAUGGGAUGCUCUAGUUCAGAGGGAGGGGGGAAAACUGCAAAACAGCAGUGUGUAUGAAGGUGGACAGGAACCCAGGAACAUGGGCUAAAGAGCUGCAGGAAUUACAAGCACUGGCUGACCCAUCACAAAAGCACUCAGGAAUGUAACAUCUGUGUGGUUUCAACUGGGAAGGCACUGAAGCUUGUGCAAAGUGUGCUCCUGAACAAACAAAGUGUGACAGGGUUAACCAGAACAGAGAGCAACUGACCAGGAGGGGGGGAAGCAGCCAGGGUCACCUCUUAGGAAAGGGGCUCCUGUCCUGACCCCACCAGGAGGCUUUCAGGCACAUCUCAUUUUUCUUUCAGGCCAUGGGCAACAUGUAGAAGUCACGGUGGUGUAACAGCAUUGCCUGUCCAGAGAGAGGUCUGAAAAAUCCUCAUGCCAUGCUGAGGGAGAGUUACAACCCAGAAAGCCCCUGGCAGGGUGGCUGGGUUCAGACAAGUUGGUGACAAGAAAACCCCACUUUCAAGUACCAUUCAGCCAAGCAGUUAGCUUUUCAGGAGCGAUUGAGCAAGCCAGAUGCCAAGACCAGAAGGCAAAGGGCUUCCCUGCUGCUCAUGGUGAGAGAAGGGGCCAGGACUGGCCUGGGCCUCUGCCCCUGCAUGCGUGGGGGUCACUCGUGGCCAUCACUACCACCCAAGGUGACACGCAGUCAAUGUCAGCUGGGAACCCAUGGCAUAACUGGUGGAUGAAUGAAGAAAGGAAGUCAAGUCAGUCUGGCUUAGCAUCCCUCACAGCCUGCUCCGGCCCCAUCCUUACCCUGCCACACUCCGCUCUGGGUACAGGAGACUGAGCACCCACCCCCAGAAGCCAAGUCCUGAUGCACACUGACUGCACGGGUGUCCCACAAUUUACCAACAGCUCUUCCUGAGAGGACACUGAAGCUAGGAGACAGUACGUGGAGACACACAG